GGUUGGAUCCCUGCCUGGUGCAGCGACGUCCUACCUUGCUAUCCUUUUCAUUGUUGGCACAAUUUACAUUGUCCGUUAGUCAGUUUCCUGUGUUGCGUACCUACAUGAUGGAAUUCGGUUGUCAAUCUUUAGCUGUUCGCUCUAGGCUGUCCGUUAACUCGGUGUGGCCGCGGGUGAAACUCGAAACGAGAUUCGUGUCCCAUAUACCACAUGGUUCAUGCAGGUCUAUUGGUCCAUGAAUUCUCGUUCGGACGCUGGGAUGCAGAAAACUGUUAGGGCACGGGGUCAUCGACUCCUAUCUGUCCACCAAAAAGGCAUUAUUGCCUAUUUCGAACGAUUUCGUACCCGUUUCGGCCUCGUGCCGUGCGGGUCGAUAUCCGCGAGGAAUGCUAC
rnacentral:misc_RNA from 1 species